GUUCAUUCCUCCACCUGGCCAUUAAUCCUGAGCUACUAUCAAUUCCAGCGCUUUGAAUUCUUCGCACCUUUGGAUUUCGCUUUUGCUUGUUGGAAAGCCAUUUGUUUCUGUUUCUUCCUUGCUUCCUUCUCCUCCUUUGACAUCUUAGAUUUAGCCUUUAGUUUCGGGGCUUUCUCCUCGAUCUCGGCUUCACGCAUUUGUUGUCUUUCUCUGGCAUCAAGGUUCUUCUCCAGAUAGUAAUCAUAAUCGCCUGCAUAGUCUUGUAGAACUUU
rnacentral:misc_RNA from 1 species